ensembl:snRNA U6 U6 spliceosomal RNA
GUGCCCAUUUCAGCAGCACAUAUACUAAAAUUGGAAUGAUACAGAGAAGGUUAACAUGAUCCCUGGCAAGGAUGAUAUGCAAAUUUAUGAAGUGUCCCAUAUUUUU